GAUGCCAGUAUCAACGUCUGGGUUGAGCAAAGACGGCUCCACUUCAUGGGCGGGUUUUAAUUCAUCUGAUCUUCCUCCGUUCUCCCCGGAGGAGCGUGUGAGCAAGUUAGUUUCGUUUCUCGUCUACUGAGUUCAGUCGUCAUCGUUAAGAUCUACGAUGGGACUCUUCCUUAUUUUGGCUCUUUUGGGGAUUAAUGGCGCAGAUGCAGCACGCCACUCCCUCACCUACAUUACAACUGCAUCAUCUGGAGUUCCAAACUUCCCAGAGUAUGUGGUGGUUGGUUUGGUGAACAAUGUUACGUUCACUCACUGCGACAGUCAUGGCAGGAGUGUGGAACCCAAACAGGACUGGAUGACUCGACUCACUCAUGAUGAUCCGGAAUAUUUACAGAGAAACACAGAGACGUGUUUGACAAAUUGGCUGGUGAGCAAGGACAACAUUAAAGUUGCGAAAAAAAGAUUCAACCAGACUGGAGGGGUCCACAUGUUUCAGGUGAUGCACGGCUGUGAGUGGGACGAUGAGACUGGAGAGGUCAGAGGUCAUUAUCAGCUCGCUUACGAUGGACAAGACUUUCUAUCGUGGGACCUGAAGACUCUGACAUGGGUCGCAGCCAAACCACAGGCUGUCAUUACCAAACACCAGUGGGACAAUAAUGAAGGUUGGAACAAAUAUCUACAGAACUACCUGAAGACCCAGUAUCCUAUGUGGCUCAAGAAGCUUCUGGAAUACGGGAAGAGCUCCCUCCUCAGAACAGAGCUUCCAUCAGUGUCUCUCCUCCAGAAGACUCCGUCCUCUCCCAUCAUCUGCCACGCUACAGGCUUCUACCCUCCACGAGCCAAGUUGUUCUGGACCAAAGACGGAGAGGAGCUUCACGAUAAUGUUGAUAUUGAAGAGGUCCUCCCCAACCCUGAUGGAACCUACCAGAUGAUGGCUGAGCUGAAACUACCAGACCCGUCUGAAGACUGGGAGAGGUUCACCUGUGUGUUCCAGCUUGAAGGUGUAGAGGAAGCCUUGCACACCAACCUGGACAAAGAGGCCAUUUUAACCAACUGGAAGAAAGACCAGACCGUCCCCAUCGCUGUCUCAGUGGCUGUUCUUGUUCUGCUCGUCGCUGCUGCUGCUGUUAUUGGAGUGGUCAUGAGGAGAAGAGCAGGCCAAAGUACAGAAACUGACUCCAACAGUUCUGAGAAAGAGCUUCUUCCAGACUAUACGUGUUCAGACACAUCGGGGCAUCUUCUGCAUGAAGCUCCUGCGCGAGCAUGAAGGAGUGUCGCAGGGAAAGAGUGGAGCCGCAAAGUCAAAGUGCACCUUCACCAGAUGGGACGAACCGCUACUGUUUUGCUGUUGCUUUAUUUUUGUUUUAUUUUGAUUUUAUUUGUUUGGUUCCGCUUCGUUUUGUCCAGUUUUGUUUUUGUCCUUUUCUUUAUUUCCCUUUUUGGUUGUGUCCAUUUUGGUUCAUUUUGUUUUCGUGACUUGCUUUGUUUUCUUGUUUUUGUAUUGCUUUACAUUAGUAAGACGGGGUUUUUACUUUGCAUGCGUUUAGUUUCUUGAGACUGGUUCAUGUUGGGUUUUGUUAGAUGUUCUUCUGCUAUUAGUUCAUUUUUGAUUUAGUCUGUCAUUUUGUGUCAUUUCCCUGUGUGACCUGGUCACCUAGUUACUGCAGCCCUGUCUCAUGUCUCUCGACCAAGUGCUUGCGUGUCUUUAGUGUAAUCAUUAUUUGGAGAGAAUUUUUUGGAGAGUUUUCACUGUUGAAUUAUGAAAUAAAGGGUUAGGGUUAAACUUUUUUUUCAUAGACAUGUCAUUACUUUACAUAAUAUCUAUCGAUUUCAUAAUUCAACAUUAAAAACUCCCCAAAUUCACAAAUGAAUGCAGAACAUUAAUCCAGUAAAACAUUUCACUUAACUGUUUUGGUAUUUUUCAUCCGAUUUUGAAAAAUAUGCAUGACAGGAGGUGUAUUAAUUUGUAAAAAAUGUUGAAGUCAUAUUCUUACAAUACAUAACGCCUAUUUAUUAACACAGCUCAAUCAUCUCAGUAACUUUCAACAAACAUAGCAGCUAUUUUCGACAUGUCAAACACUUCGCAUGAGCUUACUGCGUUGUUAGCGUAACUGUUUUUUUUUUUUUUUUUUUGCGGGCUAGUUUGCAUUGCAGUUUGUAGUUUCGUAGGCUGGCAGAAGUUUGUGUCAGCGAUCUCAUAAUCCUGACCCCCAGAUGAUGACGAUGAGACUCCAUAUUUUGUGCUACUCCUGAGACUUCAUUAAUCGAACCGUUCACCACGUUCGGUUGUUGUUCUAUUUCAUAUGUGCUCCGCCCUCUAACGGACUUCGCUAUUGGUUGAACCACUCCGAGGGUCCGCCUCUUGGCUUAACUCUCUGCCCAGGCGCUAUGGCGGCUACUUGUGCUUCCUGCCAUAUUUUUUUGGAGGAUGGAGACACCCAUGACUGCUGCUUCAAUUGUCUGGGGCACAGCACGUGUUGGAGUACGACUCCUAUCCUGAGUGUGUCGACCUCCCUGUGGACGAGCGGCGGAAGAGAGAGGCGCUCCGCUCUUGGUUCGGUGGCCUGGUGGAGCAGACCAAGCCGCCGUCGAAGUCAAAGGACAAAGGCAAGGGCAAGCAACCCAAGAUGAAGCCAUGGGACCUCUACGACGAGAGCAUUGAAGUCUGGGUCUUCAUGGAAGAACACCCGGAGCUUCUUUUUGCCAAUGUCUCAGCUUAGGGUCUGACCGGAGAGAACGAGUCGAGUGGGGAUGAGGAUGAGAGUGUAGAGGACCA